rnacentral:rRNA from 1 species
UACGUAGGGUGCGAGCGUUAAUCGGAAUUACUGGGCGUAAAGCGUGCGCAGGCGGCGCGUUAAGACAGGUGUGAAAGCCCCGAGCUUAACUUGGGAAUUGCGCUUGUGACUGGCGUGCUGGAGUGUGGCAGAGGGAGGUGGAAUUCCACGUGUAGCAGUGAAAUGCGUAGAGAUGUGGAGGAACACCGAUGGCGAAGGCAGCCUCCUGGGCCAGCACUGACGCUCAUGCACGAA